UUUUUUUUUUUGGUAAAUUUGUAAACGAAAUGAUAAGUGGACAUACAGAUUUUACAUAAUCUAAUAUUUCUCAAUUCUCAUAUUUUACCUCUUAUUUUCCAAUUCUCAUAUUUUCGAUCAUUUAAUUAAAUGAAUAUGAUAGACUAUGCAAUCAUUUAAUUUUCGCAUAUUUUCUCGCCUCCACUCGCCUACGCCCAAUCAUCAUCCCAAACUAUGCCUCUCUGUGACUCCACCCGCAACUACCCAUAGUCUUAGCAACCUCGACGUCUUCAUCAACAAUGUUGGUGAGAUGGUGCCAGUCAUGGUGUUUGUAAGGUUUAAUGGUAAGAUUGUGUGCGUUAGAGAAAACAUCGCAUUUCUCUUUCUUCUUUCGAUUUGAAACCCUUCUUUUCCCCACAAUCUCUCAUUCCCUCCCAACUCGUUGAAACCCUUCUUCGUCCCAAAGGAACCUCACCCUUAAUCUAUUACUUCUUCCCAUCUUCUUCUUGACCAAUUCUAGGGCAAGCAAUACUUCCUCAAAUACACACAAGUCGAAUCUAAUUUGGAAAGUAAGACAAUAUUGUCAAGACCCAAAGCCACCAUUCAGAUCAAAUCAAUUAGGGUGAUUGAUGAAGUCACAUAGAAACAUGAAGGAGGCGGCACCAUCCUCAUGAGUGAAACUAAAGAACGAGAGCAAGAGUUUGAGAAAGAGAUAAAACGUUAGAGAGAGAAAAGGGAGACCGACGAGGGAGAGAGAUAAUGUUAGAAGAGCUCUGCUUUGCUGGUUCAAACUCAACUAGGGUGGUUCAACACAAUGGUGGGGGUCCUAGCGUUUCUAGCAUGGGAAUGGUGGAGAAGGAGGCGAGGGGAAGGUGGCGAGGGAGAUGGUCCAAAAUGCCCCUUGAUACACCAGGGAACCAAAUUUUUAAAUGUCAACCCUAUUCUUAACCAUAUACCUUAAUAUUUGAUACUGUAAGAUUGCGACACGUCUAUUAAAGAAUAUUAUUUAAAAAUGUCAUGCUAAGGCUGUAAUUUGGAAAAUAUAACUAAUACUCUCCUGAAAUUGUAAAAGUGAUAAAUAUUAGGGAUAAACUAUCAAAAUAGUAAUAACAGGAGGUAAUACUUCAUACUAGAACAAAAUUGGAAAAAUCAUACAAAAUACAAGUACACCUAAUAAUUUUCGAGAAACGAGAACUCCGGCGAUGAGUCAAAUAUCAAAUAUAUGUUCCACGCCUGUCGAAUUCCAUGAUCAGUUUUAAGUUUUUCACUAAGUAUGAAGUGGCAUAUAAAUUACACUAGCAAAAUUACAACACAUAAGAUACACAUCAAACAAAAUUGAUAUGAAUUAUCAUAAAUCCAUCAAAAGUAAAAAAAAAGUACUUCUAUAUAAAAUUUACAGUCAAUAAAAUCCCGGGUGAUCUUUUCCAAUGUGAAACUCUAACACUACGAAAAAUACAAACAAUUAACUUGGGCCGUGGGGUCCUACUAUGUAUUUUAAGAGACUGAAAUUUGAAAUUUGCAAAUUCUGGGAUAAAACCACUCAGCAUCCAUUCUAUUGUACCGGGAAAGAACAAUUCAUAGCGCAGCACAGUGUGUAUCUCAAUUUUUUUUACUUACUAGCAUGUAACUUACUUUGGCUUCUUCCGCAUUCCCAUCCGCGAUUUAGCAAAUCUAAAAUUAUCAUUAAGUAUACAAAACAAAUGUUGGUGAUGAGAAAAAAAAAUCAAUGAAAGAAAACAAACAGGUAACCAAAGGAUACUCUAAACGCAUUCCCUCGCCAGCUGGAGAGGAGUGAAGAAUGGUGCCUUGCAGAUUGUUUAGAGCAUCAGCGGAGCUACCAACGUCCUGCACAUAAAGUUAGCAAUCAAUCUGGGAGCUUUACAAGAUGCACUUGUCGUGAUAGUUCACAAAAACCUCCUAAUAAAAUCAUGCAAAUCAAAUAUGGGAAUAACUAUAAUAUUUAGGUAAUAGUUUUAUGCAAUUUUCAACAUGGCUUUCAAUGCUUUCACAAGAAGAAGCAUGCUGACUGCUGAGUGAUAACACUCCCAAGGGUAAAACUUAGGUGCUAUUCUUUAGGUACUUUUCAUGUUGUUGACUUGUUGCCUAAUUAAAAACUCAACUACCCACUUUCUUAAUUCAUUAACAUAAUUUUUCAUUUUUUUAUUCAUGUCUCAUCAUAUGCAGUGCAAAAAAAAAGGACAACAAUAAAGAAACCUGGAAAUCAACAAAUGCAACUGGAGCCCCAUAUGUGCUCUGCAUCUUCAGUUUCAAAAAUCCAGGAUAUCUGAUAGAAGAUACAUACACCAAAAUAAAAUCAACUUCAGCAUCUACGGACUGUAUAGAUACGAAAAUAAUUCGAACAAUACAUAUACACUGACCUAGAAAACACUUGUAUUAGCUCUUGUUCAUUACAAGACGGCCCCAGAUUAGCUACAAAUAAAGUUGCACAGGGGAUUGUAUUUUGAGGAAUGUAAGGUAUUGAACACUUUUUCUGUCAACACAAGAUAUGAAAUAAAAACAAUUACUUGAAGUGGAAAAUGCAAUAAUUUUAAAUUAACUAUAGUCCUAGAUGCAAGAGAAACAAGGAAAAACAACACGGUUAGAUACAACAAUUUAAUAAAGCAUAAUAAUGUUGACCAGCCUAAUCCAUGUAAAGCAUAUAACUGAGAAACAUUGUACAGUUUAACCACAAAUUUUAAUAGUCUGGAAAAAAAAGAUUAUGAGAAAAGCAUUUUGAGUUCACCACCGAAAGAUUUAACCAUUUAGAACAGCUAAUAGAGGUAAAUAUCUUAAGGUGAUGCAAAAAACAGAUAGAUUGAGUGCUACAUAACACUAACCAGAUUUCCAUAUAGACCAUCAUUGACAGCAUUUCCAUCAGCACUCCCAUAACUUUUGCAGAAAACAAACAAACAGACAAUUAGAUGAGAUAGCAUGAUAUACAAAGGCAAUAGCCCAAAAGAAUUUCUCUUGUACUAUAAACACAUUAGUUAUUUUCUUCUAAUAAUAUAGAAUGAGUUCCCCAACAGCAGCUCAAAAUAAUUAACUUGUAAUAUUGAAAAAUGUGCUCUAUUUGAGUUAGAAGCAAUGACUUCCAUAUAAUAAAGGUGUGAUUAAGUAGUGCAGAUGACCUUUGUGCAGAUGGAUAACCAAUCGUGUUCAUGUUGAUAGAAGGAUUACCCAUUCCAGGCAUGUGAAUGCUGCUAACACCUGCUAGUGCCGAAGAGUGCAAAACAUGUGCAAUGUGAGAUAAAAGUGUCCUUUUGUGUGAUCAACAUUUAACUAGUCUUUAAGCAAGAGAUCAUCAACAUCAACCGCAUAUACAUAGAACAACAUCCUACACACUAAAACAAUCUAGCACCAUCUUACUUACCGGAAUCAGGAGUCGCCCAUGACGGUGCAGACCCUCUAGCUUUCUUAUCCGAGCCACCUCUCUCAUCAUCUGCUCACCAAUGUCAAUCAACCAUCACAAUUCAAUUCAAACCUCUUAAAAUGUAAAUGGGAUUAGGAAAAUAAGGUAAUCAAGACACACACACACCUAUCCGCGUUCGCUUAGAUCUAGAGUUGGAUUUGGCAAGAUCAAUAUAAAGAGUUGAAUUCUUUUCAAGAUCAAACACCAUCCCCUGCAAACCACAGCAAUCAAAAUAUUCAAUUCAGACACUGAAAACUGCUACUGAGCAUGAAAUGUAUGUAACACAAAAGAGCCUUACAUUCAGAGCAUGCAUUGCCAUUACUGCAGAUUGCUGAUUCAUGAACACAGCAAAAGCAAAAGGCUAUCGGAACAAAAAAUCACGUCACAGAAAGCAUAUCAGUAAUCAAUCAAUGCAAACACAAUUACAAGAUAAUCAAAACAGUUGAAAACGCUUUGCAGUUUGCAGAAUCGAUUAUUAUUGUACCUGUGAUGAAUUGGUGGGGCUACGAAGAUGCGAUGAUUCGUAACCAGGAAAUUCGCGGAAGAGGUUGUAGAUUUCGCGGGGUUUUACAUCUUCAGGGAGUCCAGCAACGAAGAGGGUACGGACCUCGUGUGUGGGGGAUUGAGGAAGAGCGAAGGAAUUGUAGAGAGGUUGUUGCUGGUGGUGAGGAACAUACUGCGGAUGCGGGAAAACGGUGCCGGGAGGAGGUGGCACCACCGUCAUGAUAGGCGGCGGCGGAGGUGGCUGAUAAUAUGAAUAAUUGAGAAGGGCGGGUGGUUGGGUUUGAGCGUAGUAGGCAGCCAUGUCGUCCAUCGGAGCACUAUUGCAGUGGUUCGGAAGCCCUAGAGUAUUUCAUUUCUCUCUCAACAACUCCUCUGUUUUUUUUGUUGAAUUGUUGUGCUUUUCAUUUUCUUGACAAUAUUGGGCUGGCCCAUUAGGGAGCUGGUCUUCCUUAUCUGGGCCUGGCCCACUGGGAGUUUUGCAGUGAAAUUAAUUUAACCUACUAAGUCUAGACUAUAGAUUGACCAAAAAAAAAUUCUAGACUAUUGCAAAGGAAAAAGAAAACUGAAUGAAGAGAAAAAUUGGAAGCAAGCAAUUUAUUUUUAUCUUUCUCUUUCAUGAACUUUACAAUUUAUAGUUAGGGUUCAACCCUUGGGGUGUGUAUGUGAGUUCAAUUUUGAGGAGAAGGAAAGGGAAGAUGGAUGCUUGUGAGUAGAGGCAGGCGGAGGAACAUGAGUGGGGCCCAUCGAUGUCACAAUCCUUUCUAUCUUUUAGAUUUUUAUCUUAAUAUUAUGUAUGUAUAUUUUUCUUAUGACCUUUGUAGUCAGCUUAAUAAAAUAGAAUCAAUACUAUGUAUUUUUUUUAUGGCCCACUUCCAAACACGUACACAAGGUUGCUCAAAUAAAUUUAUAAAUUUUUGUAAUUAGAACGUUAUUAUCGUCGCAUUGAUUCUUUUUUACAGUACUCGUUAUGGUAUGUUGGAGUGUUUUUACAUGUGCCCAUAUACCAAUACGUCUAUAAAAAAAAAAGGCAAACUUAAAAAUGUUGGUUGUGUUUUAAACCCUCCGGCGUCCCUGUUGUUUUCGCCCGCCGUCGUUCAUAAACGUGCCAGCGCUGUUUCUAAUCGUAGUUCAUGGGCAUCGUUAUCUGGUUCCCUUCAAGAGUACACUCUGUCGCCGCUGUAGCCCCCAAUUCUUUUUUCGUCCUUCAUCGUUUGCAUAAACCUUUUGAACCUUCCCCCGCCACAAGCCUUUUUUAUCUGAUAAGAAGCACUUCCGCAGCAAACCCCUUUUGGGGUUUUAAAAUUAUUCAGAUCUCUAUGAAAUUUCUACUUUGAGAUACAUGAAUUGAUAUUCUGGGUUUAAAUUGAUAUUUUCAUUCUUGGUUUCCAUUCAAUUGGUUGUUCAACAAUUCAGUCUGGCCAAUGUUUUCUGAUAACAAUUCACACGAAACAUGUUAGGCACAUGUGGGAAUUUAUGAUCACCUCUGCUAUACAGUUUCACUCAUGGAGGAUGGGAGAGGAAGAGAACGACAUCACAGACGAAGAUGAACACAGAGGAGAGGAGGAAGGAUUAGAUUAAUAUUUGCCCCAAAUCAACUUGAAAUGUUUAAAAUCAACUAAGGUUAAAAUCAAUUUGAAAAUCAGAAAGUAAACAUUUUCUAAAAAAAAUGUAUUUUAAACACAUAGUAAAACUUAUAAUAGAGAUAUUUAGAGGAUCAAUUUAACAACUUUAUAAGUUAAAAUGACAUGACACAUUUCCACACUUGGCAUUCACUGAUUGGGUAUAAGAGAAACAACAUUAUAACCCCCUCUCACCAACUAACAUGUAAAAGUUUGCCUUUUUUAUAAGCCAAAUAUCGUAAAAACUCAAGUAUCCCUUACACGUAGAUAUGAGAUUUUAUUAUAUAAUUAUUAUCGAAAUACAACAUAAUCAUAUAAAGUUCAAUCGCUUAGCGAGGAUCGUGACAACUCAUGGGGAGAUUACACCAUCUCUUUAUUCUCUCUUUGCUAGUUAUUGCCAUAACACAAGUACUGACUCAACAAGGGUAAAUACCCUCGUGCAAUUCCAGCUGCUCAGUUUACCCUGCAAUUACAACUUA
rnacentral:lncRNA from 1 species